rnacentral:lncRNA from 1 species
GGUGUUGCUGACUUGCCCUAGGUCACCUGAGUUAAAUGGGUUGCAUUCCCUUUCCAGUAUGGUCCAUGGAAAACAUGCAGAGGAAAUGGCCCCACAGCAUUGGCUGAGUGUUUAUGUCAUCCAACCGAGUCUCCAUCGAACUGUUGUGGUGUUGCUGACUUGCCCUAGGUCACUUGAGUUAAAUGAGAUGCAUUCCUUUUCCUUCAUGGGCCAUGAGUGACAUCCAGAGAAAGUGUCACCACAACACUGGACAAAAGUUGAUGAUAUCUGAAUGAGCUACCAGUAAACCCCCCCCUUUUUUUGCUGUUAUUGCCUUGCCUGAGGAAAAGCGAGUUAAAAGAUGAUACCUACAGUGAUGAGUUGGAGUUAUAGAUGGUGCCAUUUCUUCUACCAGCAGCUUCACCAAAACAAUCUCCAUUAUACAUGCUGAUGCCUCUUUCCUGUGUAGCAGCAGACACCACCUGCAGAUAAGAAAUGCUUAAGUGAGAAAUGCUCAUUUUGGGAUAUCAUCGCUGAAACUAUAAUUUGGGCAUGGUGACUGUUUCCCUUGCUGCCACUUGACUCAAUCUCAGAAGUUUAAUAGAUCAAAUAAUAUUGUACAAUAUGCUCAAAAUGGUGGAAGUAAUUAGUGCUCCUAUAAAUAUAUAUUGACAAUUUAAAUAUAACAUAUUAAAAAUAAAAUGCAUGAUUAAACAAACCUGAAUGCAUACUUAUAUAAUUAAUACAUAAAAUAUGUGCUGCCUCUUUUUUGAAGGCUAUCCCCAUAGUUUCUCUCUGUUAAGAGAAGGAUAUACAUGCUUUUAAGCAAUAAAUAUACAAGCAGAUACACAUACUGUCUGGUGGGGGCACUUCUAGUAGUAAUGCCAUAUUAUUAUGCAAAUUGCUACUUUUGUUUGAGUCUUUUUGAUGAGCUUUUGCUACUAUGUCAUUUAUUGAAUGACUAUAUGACUGUUUUGUAGAUGAAAUAGAAUUAAAUAUUUUAAAUAUUGCUUAUACAUGCAUUUAUAUAGGUGCUAAUUUUCUGUGCAAUAGACUUCCGUAUAUAUUAACAUUUAUGCAUUCAUCUCCUCUAUUAAAGUAAAUUUACCUAGAACACAAAUUAUUGAAAUUAAGUAUAUUGACACUUAAUAUUUUUAUAAUUGUUAUGAUUCCUUUAAGAAUGUGCUUGAAGAGCUUUCUUGUAAGAAUCAAUGAAUUAGAUUGCCCAAUUUUUCAAAAUACAAUUAUGGUAGAUUUUACAAAUGAUUGAGAUCCUUUCCAGUGUGUUAGCCCAAAUUGUUGCUCUGACUUGUAUUUAUUUUAUUUUUGAGUUUGAUCAUUUUCAUGUUUAAUAGCCAUCUGUAUUAUUUUAAUUUCCUAUUUAUCUCAAAACUUGGGAGUAUUUAGUCUCUUUAAUGAUCUUAUAGUAUUUGGGAAAGAUAAGAUUUUGGAUUGUCA